rnacentral:rRNA from 1 species
CCUACGGGUGGCAGCAGUGGGGAAUAUUGGACAAUGGGGGGAACCCUGAUCCAGCCAUGCCGCGUGUGUGAAGAAGGCCCUCGGGUUGUAAAGCACUUUCAGUGAGGAAGAACGCCUGGUGGUUAAUACCCAUCAGGAAAGACAUCACUCACAGAAGAAGCACCGGCUAACUCCGUGCCAGCAGCCGCGGUAAUACGGAGGGUGCGAGCGUUAAUCGGAAUUACUGGGCGUAAAGCGCGCGUAGGUGGCUUGAUAAGCCGGUUGUGAAAGCCCCGGGCUCAACCUGGGAACGGCAUCCGGAACUGUCAAGCUAGAGUGCAGGAGAGGAAGGUAGAAUUCCCGGUGUAGCGGUGAAAUGCGUAGAGAUCGGGAGGAAUACCAGUGGCGAAGGCGGCCUUCUGGACUGACACUGACACUGAGGUGCGAAAGCGUGGGUAGCAAACAGGAUUAGAUACCCUGGAAGUC